CAUGGAUGAGGAGGAAAGAUGAAGAAGAAGCUAGACCAGUGGAGAGAGAUGGUUCGGCAGAGGCGUUGAGAAAUUCAGGGAGGGUUGACGACCAAAACAAUAUGGGACUGGAUCAAAAUGAAAAUGGAAACUCCGGUAACAUAGGUCAUAAUCGAACAGAGGUAGGUGGCAGAAAAUUAGAAAUACCCAUUCUCUCGGGUGUGACCAUUAUGGGUAGGUGUUUAGAGUGAAGCGUUACUUCAAUGUGAAUGGAAUACCAGAACUAGAGAGAUUGCCAUGUGUAUGGACAGCGACGCCGUCAACUAGAUGGAUGGAGGUGAGAGCUCCGAUCACCACUUGGCCGGCCUUCAAAUUGGUGCUCCUUCACCGGUUCAGUGGGUCACAGGAGGGUAGCCCUUACAAAGCCUUGAUAGGAAUCCAGCAAAAUGGGACGGCGGAAGAAUUUCGACGAAGAUUUGAGGCUAUAUCUGUGCCACUAGUGGAAGAGAAAGAAGUUUUGAUGGCGGCUUUCCUUAAUGGACUAAAGGCUGAAUUCGGGCCAUAAUCAGGUUAGCCCAACUUGGGAAUUUAGUUUAAUUAUUGGAUUUGGCCCAAAGGAUUGAGGAGAAAAACUGGGCUUUGGAGGAAUUGAAGGGUGGACCUGGUACAUAUGGGAGAUCAGUUAGUGGGCGUGGGCUAGGGUCUUUUGAAGGUGGAAUGGGCCAAGUUUUUAAUUCAACUAGGUUUGGACCAGGUAGAGCACAUGGGUCGGUGGAAAUCAGGUCUAAGGCUCAUUUUAAUACAUUCCAGUUUGCAAACAACCGAGAGUUUCCUCCACCUUCUCCCAAACGCACUAUUCAUGGAACGAAAGACCACCAAGCACGACUAUAACCACCAAUCAACGUGGCAGUAGUGCAUCAAUCCAAAGACCCUCAAUUUUAGUCCCUAUUUUCAGCGAAAUCUUCCCUUCAGGCACAUGACAGAGAAAGAAAUUUAGAGGAAGAAGGGAAGGGGCUUAUGUUUUUGGUGUGAUGCGAAAUUUGCUCCAGGCCAUCGAUGUGGGGACAAGCAAUUUCAGAUAAUCCUAGUUGACGAAGAUGAAGAGGUUAUAGAGCAAAAUAAUGGAGGGAUUAAUAAUGAAAAUAUGGAAGAGCCACCAAAGCAGGGUGUUGAGCUUUCUCUCAGUUCUGUCGUAGGGAUAAAUGGGCCGAAGACGAUGAAAUUGAAGGGGUAUAUAUGAGAUGAAGAGGUGAUUGUGUUGGUGGAUAGUAGGGCUUUGCACAACUUUCUUACGAAGGAAAUAAUAGAGAAAUUGGGAAUUCUUGUUACAAAUACUCAAUCGUUUGGGGUUAAGAGUAGGAGAUGGAUACGAAGUAAAGAGUGAAGGUAAGUGUUGAGAGGUGUGCCUGAAGCUUCAAGGGGUUGUGAUCAUGUAGAAUUUUUUUCCUUUUGAAAUGAGUAGCGCAGACAUUGUGUUAGGAAUUGCUUGGUUAGAGACUUUUGGAGAAACUACUAUGGAUUGGAAGGAACAAGUUAUGAAGUUCAGGCUUGGUGAUGAUGCUGUGAAGUUAGUGGGCGACCUAUCCCUUAGCAAAACAAUUGUGUCCCUGAAAGCAAUGAUCAAGACGCUGCAAAGUGAAGGGCAAGUAUGUAUGGUUGAGUUCGGUCAGUUACAAAAGCAAUCUGAGUGUGAGAAAGAUGUUGAUAGCCAACUAUUGCCAAUGUUAGAAAGAUUUCAGAUCAUUUUUGAGCCGUUGUUCAGAUUACCACCCUGCAGACCACAAGAUCAGGCCAUAAGAUUGUUACCUGAAGCCUAACCCCCAAAUAUUAGACCUUAUAGGUACCCCUAUUACCAAAAAAGGAAAUUGAGAGAAUCAUUGAGAGAUGCUGGCAUCAAGACUCAUUAAGCCUAGUGUGAGUCCAUUCUCGAGCCCUGUUCUGUUAAUAAGAAGAAAGACGAGGGUUGGCGGUUUUGUGUCGAUUACAAAGCGUUGAACAAACUGACCAUUCUCGAUAAAUUCCCCAUCCCAACCAUUGAUGAGUUGUUCGACAAACUUGGGGGAGCUGCAAUAUUCUCAAAGCUCAAUCUAAAAUUGGGCUACCACAAAAUUCGAGUCUGGUCCAAGGAUACCCACAAGACAACCUUUAGAACUCACGAAGAGCACUAUGAGUUUAUGGUUUUGCCCUUCAGAUUGACCAACGCACCAUCAACAUUUCAAGCCUUGAUGAACGAGAUCUUUCGACCGUACCUCAAAAAAUGUAUGCUUGUCUUUUUCGACGAUAUCCUAGUGUACAACAAGAAAAUUAGUUAACAUGCAUAGCACCUGAGUAUCACCCUUCAAACUUUGAUGGAACACCAAUUGGUAGCUAACAAAAAAAAAUGUUUCUUUGGGCAACGACAGUUGGAGUAUCUCGACCAUGUGAUUUUAGUAGAGGGAGUGGCGGUUGACCCAUCAAAAAUCAAAAGCAUUGUCAAUUGGCUAGUUCUGAGAGAUGUGAGGGCUCUUAGAGGUUUCUUAGGGCUAAUCGGAUAUUAUAGGAGGUUCAUCUGAGGAUAUGGUAAGGUUGCUCUUCCUCUCACAACCUUAUUAAAAGGUUGAUUCAUUUAUGUGGAAUGAAGCAACUCAGGAAGCUUUUGAAGAAUUGAAGCGCAUCCUGACCAGUGUGCCGGUCUUAGCCAUGCCAGAUUUUUCCAAGCAGUUUGUGAUUGAAACAGACGCAUCAGGGAAUGGAUUAGGGGUUGUACUUACGCAAGAGGGAAGGCCUUUAGCUUUUUUGAGUAAGGGAUUAUCACUUCAAUCAAAACUCAAGUCAGUUUAUGAAUCGGAGUUAAUGGCUGUUGUCCUGGCUGUACAAAAGUGGAGACACGACUUGCUAGGAAAGCAUUUUGUCAUCUGAGUAGAUCAACAGAGUUUGCAUUUUUUAACCGAACAAAGAUUAUUGGGGGAAUACCAACAAAAGUGGGUGAUAAAGUUACUUGGGCUGGAUUUUGAGAUCCAGUAUAGACUGAGGCCUCAGAAUAAAGCGAUAGAUGCUUUGUCCAGACGACUAGAAGAUGUGAAGAACAAUGCCUUGUCAAUAGGUUGUUUCAAUGGAUUAGAUGAACUUGAAGAGGCAAUGCAGAAUGAUAGCAAGCUGCGCCAGAUUACUCAGCAACUUCUUACUGAACAGCAGAGUCGCCCUCCUUUUAAAUUAAUGGGUUGACACUUGAUGUAUCAAAACUGCCUAGUUGUACCGAGCAAGGGACCCCAUAUUCAAAAACUGUUACAUGACUUUCACUCAUCUCUGAUUGGAGGGCACUCUGGAUUUUUUAGGACCUACAAGUACCUUAUGAAUGUGGUCUACUGGGAAGGAAUGGAAAAAGACAUCUAGGCUUAUGUAGAUGUAUGUGCAGUGUGCCAAC